CCCAGUCCCGUCAUCAGCCAUGGAACUUAGAAUUCUCUUACCUGUAGCUGCUGCCACCAAGAGGAGGAUCCUCCAGGUCCAGUCCAUGGUGAUGUGCUGUGCUCUGGGGACUUCUACAGGGGAGAGAUGUGGUUGUUGUGUGAUGCUCUCUGGGCAAGGACAGAUCUGUAUUUACCUCGGUAAACACCAGUGCAUUUGCAUAUUCAUGAGGCAGCUACCUAUUUCGUAGCUCAAGCCCCCCAACCUGAGGAAGAAGUUAGGUGACACACGGACCACGCCACAGUGGGAUGCUGAGCUCCAUGCCCUGUACUUUGUUUAAUGAUAUUUGUCCUCUGACAUGCUCAGAAGUCCAUGAAGACAGAACUCGUCUCACAGAAAACCACAAUCUCCCAGGACAUUGUCCUCAAUGUGAUUCCUUGUUCCUAUGGAACUCUGACAACCUGAACAUUUCCUGGGCCUUCACCUCUGCACCUUAACUUCUAGGAUGAGUGUAUCUCCCAGUAGUAACACCCAUUGAAUUAAUAAAACCACCACUCAAUUCCUAACUAUAAAUACAUUUGAAAAGACUAGACAUUUCUCCAUUUAAAUAUGGUUUGCAUUAAAUUAUUGGGUUAGGUAUCGGCUCCAUAUACAAUAAAAUACUUAACGGUACAUCAGUACUUGCUAAAUUCUUAUUUAAAUUUUAGGUCAUUAUUGCUUUGAAAUAAGAAACAUUCAAUUCCUGAGAGAAAACCCCACCCUGUCCUCCUGUGCACCUGCUCCAGGGCUGAAUCCUGUGCUGGGUGCGCCCUGAGGACCCCCCUGAAGCUCAGCUCCUGCCCUGCAUAGAAGUUCCUGUCUGGGCUCACAGAGAAUUCUCCACCCAGCAUAUCAAGCCCAGUAUGAAGUGGCUAUGCCUUGGCUCAGAAUGAAGUUUUAGUGGCAGCAAUUGCUUCUCCCACCAUCUCUUACAGUAGGAAAUAGGCCUUACAGUAGGAGUAGGCCUUAUCCUACAGGGAGACCUCAGCACAGCAAGCAAGGGAUCACUAAGGCCACGAGGGAGCCCCUUCCCUGGAGCUCCAGGUGCACUGAUACGGUCCAGACACAUGUCGAGUCCAGGAACUGAUGGGGACUUUGGGGCAGCCUCUUUUUUAGGAUUCUGUGUUUGAAUAUCCCAUCAGAUUCUAACUUUACACACAGACCCUAUGUCUCAAAGCCCCCCAAAACACACAGUGGCAUAUUUGCACAGUAAUGGGCCUCGAAUUUGCCCUCCUUCAUAGUGUCUUCCCAAAGAAAGGUGCUUCCAACACUGACCUUAGUCCUGCUUAUGUUUGUUGUUGUUUUGUUUUUUCCAGAGCUAAAGCAAGCUCAGUACUACUGGUGAUUUGGAAAGUGCCUUCAUAUUGUUUUUGCCAGUUCUCACCUGAGAACCCUGCAGAUGCCCCAUGAGAGGCUGUGCCCUUUACAAGGAGUCUCCAGUGAUACAGCUGAUUUUCCUCCAUACUCUAAUCCCCUUCAUGGCUGCAGCAUCAACAGAUUGCUCUCUUGAAUCUGACCCCAGUUGUUUUAUUAAUUAUACCCCUUUUUGUGACACAGGAAGGCUAAGAUGAAGCUGUCUUGGAUGGAAAAGAAUUCGUUCUCCUCACAUGGAAUAAAGAUCUUGAAAAGUAUUUUUUCUAUGUAGGGUCUGUCCGGACAAAGUUCUGGGCAUAUUUAUCAGAGAACAGUUCUCCUGAUAUCAGAGCCAUGAGGGAAUCUGUUUGGAUUCUCAUCUUGAGAACCCAGAAGUUUCUGGAGGGAAAUUUCAUAAAAGUGUGGGGUGCGUGGCCCCCAGGAGUUCUUACCCUACCCUAUCCACACUUGUCUGCUAGGCAUUUAUGGAAUUAUCAUGUAACUGUUUCCACCAGCUUGUGCUUUCAAUGGAAGAAUCACCCAAUUUAUAAAUUUAGAAAAGAAACUUUAUUUCUGAUAAAUGGGUGAAGCUGCAGGAUGGCCAUCUUAACAGGCCGGAAAGCAAAGCCUCCCACAGAGACAGUGAGCAGGCACUUCAAGAGAGGGAAAGGUGAGAAAUGAGUUCAUGCAAAUGGAUUGGCCAAGUGCACAUACUCAGCGGGCUAUAGAAGGAGCUAUGAAUAUUCACAUGGUGGGCAGGCUGUCAUGCAUAAUAAGCAAACACAGAUGUUACAUGCAUUUCAUGUUUGCUUUGGGGCGAGGACUUAAGAACUAAACAAAUUACAGUUGGGCCGUGUACAUCAAAAGGGCUUUGUGCAGAGGCAGAAGGACACACAGUGCACAGCCUCCAUAAUUUGGCAAGGACAAGUCCAUGGUGAGUGGUCUCUUCUCAGGAGAAAGUUACUGAAAUCAGUCCUUCUCCAUUCAAAGCUCUUUUUAUGGCUGUGGAACGGGCACAGUUACCCAGUGUCUUGAGUUCCAUGAGCUGCAAAUAUUUUAAUAUUCUUAUCGUAGGACCAGUGCUUUUUAGCUGCUAGAGAAAAUGAAAAGCCCUGUGGCAGUUACAACAUAGUCUAUUUUUUAAGUGUAGGAGUGAGUGACUUAAUUUUUGCUUGAUGUGGACUUGGGUCUUGUUUAUAAUUUGGUAUCUUAUUGCCACAACAAGAUUGUUCCAUCAGUCUGAUGAUCUCUAUUUUAAUGUCUUUCUAGUUUUUGGGUCUUGGUUUUCCCUGCAAUUUGAUUUCUUAAAUAGAUCCAAGAAGUUAUUGAUAAUCAAUUUUCCAGGCUUUCAUUGUUGUAGGAAUGUAGGGGAUGACUGACAUGCUCUUUACAUAUUAAAGUGGAAAACAGAAGUAGCUUCAGAGAUCACCAUUGACCUGACAAGCAGCAGGAAUCUCAUCUCGUUAAGUGUAAGUGGCACCACAGAUGUAGCUGAACAUGCAGUGACACAGAAGACCCACACCACAGAACACAUGAAAAAUUUUAUGAUUCUGAGGUUUUCUCCAGGAAGCUGGAACUCAGGUGGUACUACAGAGAUGGACUCAGUUAUCUCUCAGGUGAUACUAUGUUUUGGAAGCUUAUUUCCACUCCUGCACUGGACUCAUUAGCUGCACCUCGACCAGCACACCUAAAACAGAAACUCUCAAUAAUUAAGCACAAAACUCACCAAUAAUAAAGCUGUCCCCAGAGAAGGUGCAGAGCAGGGAACUCUGCUUUUGGGAACAUGCUGGUGUGCAGGGAGUGUCAGGAGCGUGACCCAUUUCCUUCUGCUCCCCCUGCUGGCUUCACAGACAACUGCAUCCAGGAGCUUUAUGUUGCAAAGUAUAUAAAAUAUGUUAUAAUUGUAGAGAAAUGUAAUACACAGAUUAAGGAAUGAGGAACGUACAUGAAAUUAAACAUAAUAUUAUCACGGAUAAGACAACAAACAAAUAUUAAAAACCUGUGUGUGUACGUGUUUGAGAUAGUAUUCUUGUAAAUUAAAUCAUAAUUUGUUUAUAAAGUCCUUCAACUAUGUACAAAAUCUUUGCCUUUGAUUGCCACAAAGAUGAAGAAGGAUGUGGCACCAGGACUCCAGGGCCAUGCUAGUGAUUUCCCCUCCUAUCUCCUGAGGACACGGUGCUUCCAACUCUGAGGAUCAGGAUGCUGAAAUUGGCUGUGUGAGAAGAGAAAAUGGGAUUUUCUGUGGGAACAGACUAGUGUGAAUGUAACUUUCAAGCAAGAAACCAGCUUCUGCUCUCUGACAUAUAUCACCUGGUUUGUGCCAAGAGCAUUAACCCUGGGAGCUCCUCCCAAAAAAAUGGUUGUGCACAGGGGAGAUGUUAAGCUAUGGCUGCUCCUGGGACUCAUCGGAGAUUCCUGAUGGGCAUCUGUAAUCAGGAAGUCAUCAACAGCCUUGCCGGACUUAACUUGCUCCACAGGUUAACUAGGAAGCACCACCAAACUCCCACAUUUCCCCAUCACUAGUUGUAAGACUGGCAUCCUGGCCUGACAGUGUCUACAGCCUCACCCAGCCUCCUGUGUGUUUUUCUGCCUGCCUUACUUACAUCUCACUUUGGGACAAAUAAGAAAUUUUUUAAAUAAACUUUUCUAAUCUAGAGACCUCAGUGGUAGGCACAGAAACACAAAUAUAGAGAGGCUCCCAGGGAAACUGUUCGAUGGAGAGGAAGCCACAGACCCUGAAGGAAAGCGGCCCUUGACCUUCAACUGCACCUGCCCUGGGGAUGCCCCUAACUUCUGUGGGAGUGAGUGCCCUCUGCAGCCCAGGCUCCUUCCUUCUCUCUGCAGGAUAUUUUGCGUUUUGGCUGACACUGGUGUUCCCUCACUUGGUACCUUAUGUACAAUAAUACGAGGCCAUGUUCUCAGCUCUGACUGUUCAUUCACAGGUACAGUGAGUUCUUGGCAUUGUCUUUGGAAA
rnacentral:lncRNA from 10 species